UAAAAACAAGCAUAAUAUCUCUAAAACCAACUUUUGACUCUCUAAUGACUCAACUAAGUGUUUUACUUGAUUUUAAGCUCAUUCUAAGUCUUAAAGGGUGUGUUUUGAUAUCAAAUUUAAGUAUGAAAAUAACGGUUUUUAGACCGUUAUCAAAAAGAGAACUUUUAGAAUUUUGGGAUAAUUUGGAAAAAAACUCUUUAUAAUCGUUAUAAAAAGACUUCUUUGGACUAGUGAUUACAUACUUUUGUUUUUAUUACACAUAUUUUAUGGUGGGGUUAGAGAAGAGAAUGAGAGAGGUUGCGGAUUCAACUCCC
rnacentral:lncRNA from 1 species